GACGAACGCUGGCGGCGUGCUUAACACAUGCAAGUCGAACGGAAAGGCCCUGCUUUUGUGGGGUGCUCGAGUGGCGAACGGGUGAGUAACACGUGUGUAACCUGCCCUUGACUUUGGGAUAACUUCAGGAAACUGGGGCUAAUAUCGGAUAGGAGCUCCUGCUGCAUGGUGGGGGUUGGAAAGUUUCGGCGGUUGGGGAUGGACUCGCGGCUUAUCAGCUUGUUGGUGGGGUAGUGGCUUACCAAGGCUUUGACGGGUAGCCGGCCUGAGAGGGUGAACGGGCACAUUGGGACUGAGAUACGGACCAGACUCCUACGGGAGGCAGCAGUGGGGAGUAUUGCACAAUGGGCGGAAGCCUGAUGCAGCAACGCCGCGUGCGGGAUGACGGCCUUCGGGUUGUAAACCGCUUUCGCCUGUGACGAAGCGUGAGUGACGGUAAUGGGUAAAGAAGCACCGGCUAACUACGUG
rnacentral:rRNA from 1 species